CUUGAGGACAUCCAGUGUCUUCAAACUACCCAUAGGAAACCAUUGAUUCAUUGCUAGCCGUGCAUGCACAUUAAGUCCUUUGGUAUGAUGUCGCAGAAGGAGAAGACCUAUCCCAUCCUAUGGGAUCUCUGUGGGUAAAUUAAGAUGUUAAAAUAAUAUUUUCCCCCUUUCGUGCUUGGGUAGGACACCUAAAGUUAGGGACAGGUGCAUACUAGAGCAUUAGGCAUACAAUUUUGUGUCCCUAACUCCUUUUUUGCUUGAGACCUAAAGACUU